rnacentral:misc_RNA from 1 species
UAAUGUUUGAUGUAACCUCA